CCCAGUAAAAUAACCGGCCCGUUUUGGGCCCACCCAUUCGCUUCCGAUUCGAUCCCUUGCCAAAAGUCACGAACACCAAAGGAGAGACCCGAGUCAGAUUGGGGAUCGACGAAGGUGGGGAGGGGCGAACGCCAUGGACGAGGAGGAGCACGAGGUGUACGGGCAAGAGAUCCCGGAGGACGGGGACAUGGACGGCGCGGACGUCGACAUGGCCUCCGGCGGGGACGACGCCGCGAAGCUGCAGGAGCUCGACCAGAUGAAGCGAAGGCUGAAGGAGAUGGAGGAAGAGGCCGCGGCCCUCCGCGACAUGCAGGCCAAGGUCGCCAAGGAGAUGCAAGGAGGAGAUCCUAGCGCGUCUACAGCUGAGGCAAAGGAGCAGGUGGAUGCUCGAUCUGUGUAUGUUGGAAAUGGUAGUGCUGAGAUCAAGCCUUUCUCAAAUCGAGUAAUUGGCAUCUGGUUGAACACCUGCCUGCAUUUUAGUAUUAGCUUAGAAUUGAAAAAAAAAAGAGAAAUUCCCUGAAAAAAAUAAAAAGAGCAUGGGCAAAAAGGAAAAAAAAAAGAGCAUGGGCAAAAGAAAAAGAAAAAAGGGAAAAAAACAAACAUGAAUAUUCUAGGAUAGGUUAUCCUUGAAGGAGCAAAGGAAGUCUAGAAAGCAGCUGUACACUCCUUGGUGCUUGAGACUCGAACCUGCAUACGAUGUGAUGUGAUUCUUAGCGACUGGUCCAAUGAGAAUCACCUGAAUACACAUAGGUUGAUUAUGCAUGUACCCCAGAAGAAGUGCAGCAGCAUUUUCAAGCGUGUGGCACAGUCAAUAGAGUGACGAUCUUAACUGACAAGUUUGGACAGCCAAAAGGUUUUGCUUAUGUGGAAUUUCUGGAACAAGAAGCAGUUCAGGAGGCUCUGAAUUUGAAUGAAUCUGAACUGCAUGGUCGUCAGAUAAAGGUGGCACCAAAGAGGACUAAUGUCCCUGGGAUGAAGCAGCGUCCACCGCGUGGAUACAAUCCUUAUCAUGGUUACCCAUAUAGAUCGUAUGGGGCCCCAUAUUUCCCACCAUAUGGUUACGGGAGAGUCCCCAGAUUCCGCCGUCCAAUGCGCUACAGGCCAUACUUUUGAAGUAAGAGGUUUUCAUGACGUGGAACACAACACCAAGCCUAGUCGCUAGUCAGCCAAGUCGGUCCCAGAAAUAAUUCUACUAUCUGGUAUUUUAGUUUCCCAGCAGACAUGCUGGGUGAAUGCUUCCACCCCCACCAUAUUCCAUUUUGGUAACGUCCGCUCACUAGUUAUCAGUAUCUUGUAUCGUUGGUUCUGCAGUACGCAAAACGUAGUGUUAUCUUAUUAUAUUAUAUAUACCUGCAUCAUAUGAUAUUGGUUUGCCAUACUUGGUAAUAUGUCUGGAUAUAAGCGUGGGAUUGUGAUGGUUGAUUACAGCCCUUAUCAGAA